GUGGUGAUAAGGUGACAUAAGGAGCAACCCACGGGCAUUUAAUUGCUCAUUGGUACCGCUCCUGGGAAGGUCUGAGAUCAGGUCUCGAUCAAAUUCGGGUGAUCGUAUCCUCUAGCAGGGGGACGAUGUAAUCCAUCGUGGUACCGUACCAGAAACCUGUCCUCGGUACCAAACAUCCUGAAGUACAAGAUGGUUUAUUCCCAUUUCAUAUGGGGAAAACUUGAUACGUUUGUGGUGUUGGUACUGAGUUUGAACCACGGUAUUAGUACUAGCUGUGCUGAGUGCGAUUGUCACACGCAUAUGAAUGUGAACUCAAUUCAGACUACUCUCUCGCCAC
rfam:Onchocerca flexuosa genome assembly, scaffold: OFLC_contig0024939